GAUUUGGGUAAAAAGUUGCAACUGAUAUUGUGGACUCUUAAUGAUCAAAGAAUUGAUUGUUUUUCCCUUUUCUUGUACAAAUUUCCUAUGCUUGUUCCUUGAAAAUCAUAAUAUUGUUUGAUGGCUGUACCUUUUUCCUUUCUCUUCUAGAUAUUUCCCAUUCAUUUUCCAUGAGACUUAAUAGGACUGCAACAGCUGAACUCAUUAUCUUGUCUCCAAAAGUUAUGCCACUUGCUUACAAUACCCAUACUUUUUGCAACUCAUUUAACUUUCUUGUUUUCAAGAACAUCCCCAAGAAUUUCUUCUAUUUCCUGAGAUGCAGCACUGUCUUUAGUGGUUGCUGUUGCUGUACAUUCCCUUUGGGAGUUCCCAGCAGACUUUUGCCACCAAGUAAGGCAGCAGUUGAAUUCCCCACUUCUUCAUUGCCUCCAUUGAAAUCCUUGUACAGCAAAAAGGGACAUCUCCCCAGGAUAUGAUUCAUGGAUUCAUCAAUCCUGUGAGUCGAUUUCAGUCGAUUCUUUUUUUAUUCUUUUUAAUUUCUUCUCGUAAAACCCUAACUUGAUCUUCAUAUUCUGAAUGGUUGCGGAAUCAGAAAUCUGCUGAGCUGCACCUGCCCUAGUCAAAUUCUGCUGAUUUGCACCUGCCCUAGUCAUUCUUGCAACUCUUACUCCUUAGAACUCCAAUGAUUCCCCUUGAAAUGCUGCUCUGAUACGAAUUGUCAAGAACAGGAUCUGAGAUCAGAAAAUAGGGAUGAGAAAGAAGAAGAAAUAUAGAUGAGAAGAAGAAGAAUAGAUUUAGGUGAG
rnacentral:lncRNA from 1 species